rnacentral:tRNA from 1 species
UUCCUGGUGGUUCAGCGGUUAAGACCCUGUGCUCCCAAUGCAGAGGGCCAGGGUUCAAUCCCUGGUCAGGGAA